GGUGAGCUGGCAGAGUGGUCGAAUGCAGCGGUCUUGAAAACCGCCGUCCGUUAAUAGCGGACCCGGGGUUCGAAUCCCUGGCUCACCGCCA
rnacentral:tRNA from 1 species